UGGGCUGUGCUCUCACAGGUUGAGUCCAGAGAUGAACUGUGGUCUCUGCAGGCAUUGCUCCCAUGAAUGCUUCUCUGCUCAGUGGCUGUAUUUGUCCUGCAGCUUUCUUUGGUCCCAUUUCAAACCCAGCACAGGAUUAUAUGAAACGACAACUGGCUCCAUCACGUUCCAAGUGGCUACUGGUGAUGUUACCAAGGAAACUGGAGAUGUCAUCGUAGACAUAUCAAACCAAACUUUCAACCUCUGAACAGACUAAUGAUGGCUAUAUAACCACCAAAGCAGGAAGCUUGCUGUGCAAAAAAAGUCCAUUUUCUUGACCGAGAUGAUAUCCAAGUGUCAGGGUCCAAAAUGCUUCAGGAAUGUGAAUUACAGCAGUACACCUCUGUUACCUU